rnacentral:rRNA from 1 species
GUCCUACGGGGCGCAGCAGUGAGGAAUAUUGGUCAAUGGGCGGAAGCCUGAACCAGCCAAGUCGCGUGAGGGAAGAAGGCCCUGCGGGUCGCAGACCUCUUUGGACGGGGAGCAAGGCCGCCGACGUGUCGGCGGAAGGAGAGUACCCGUAGAACAAGCAUCGGCUAACUCCGUGCCAGCAGCCGCGGUAAUACGGAGGAUGCGAGCGUUAUCCGGAUUUAUUGGGUUUAAAGGGUGCGUAGGCGGACGGUCAAGUCAGCGGUAAAAAUGCGGGGCUCAACGCCGUACAGCCGUUGAAACUGGCG